rnacentral:rRNA from 1 species
UACAGAGGGGGCAAGCGUUGUUCGGAAUUACUGGGCGUAAAGGGCGCGUAUGCGGCCUGCUAAGUCGAACGUGAAAUCCCUGGGCUCAACCCAGGAACUGCGUCCGAUACUGGUUGGCUUGAAUCCGGGAGAGGGAUGUGGAAUUCCAGGUGUAGCGGUGAAAUGCGUAGAUAUCUGGAGGAACACCGGUGGCGAAGGCGACAUCCUGGACCGGUAUUGACGCUGAGGCGCGAAAGCCAGGGGAGCAAACGGG